UUGGGAAGAAAGAAGAAAGGAGGAGGGCCAAAGUAAAAAAAAAAGACAGAACAGAGGAGGGGAUCAAAAAUCCCUAGCGCAGCCGAUCCCCAUCGGGCCUGGCUCAUCUCUCUCUCUCCCUCACCCAUCCUUCUCCACCUCCGGCCGCCGCCACGGCCAGGCCGGCAUGGUGGUGCGCCUCCCACCUCAUCACCCAUCUCCAUCCACCACUCCACCAUCACCUCCAUCCAUCAGCGCUGUGCCACCCAGCACCUCCACCACGCACCACCAGCACCACUCCACAUCCACCUCACGCAACUCACCAGACAGAGGGCCGGCGGUGUCUGAUCCAUCGCGCGCCGAUGCUGGUGCCUCCUUCUUCAACCUGCUGCUUCUUCUUCCUCACCUCCGCUGCUGCUGUCCCUGCUCUUCUUGCGCUCAUGUUGCUGCUCCUCUGAACCCCUCGUACUUCUGCUCCUAAUCUUCUCCAACUUGCUGCUGCUCUGCUUACUCUAUCUCCUUGCACCGCUGCUGCUGCUUCUCCCGCGCGCCCCAACCUGCUGCUGCUCUUCCCCCACGAAUCUGCUACAACUCCACUCUCCAGCGCCUCCUUUGCUGAUUCUUUGCUCUGAACCUCAAGUUGCUACUGCUUCUUCUUCUCACGUCACGGCUGCUGCUCUUCUUUUCUUUCCCCUACUGUUGCUCCUUCUCUGAACCUCACGCGCUGCUCCAUCUCCUAAACGCUGCUGCUUCUUCCUUGGCCUCCUGCUCUGCUCCUAAUCUGAACCAUAAAUUGCUGCUACUCCCCUUCAUUCUCUAAAUUUCUGUAGACUUGAGAUCAUAUGUAAUAUUCAUAUUUGGCUAGUGCUUGAAACUUGCUAUUGGUUCAGAUUUGUAACUGUAUAAUAAUGCUAUGACAUGUUCAGUUUCAGACUGGUGAUUGUUUAGUACUGUAGUACUGUUUUUGUUCAUCGGAGAGUAUUAGAACAGUGCCCUAUAAUACCAUAUUCAUAUUUGUGUGUGUGUGUGUGUGUGUGUGAAAUAUAUUAAUUAUGUACUGCACUUGCUACUGAUUAGUGUCCACUUUACUGUAGACUGUUGCUCAAGUUCCUAUGAUAUAUAUCAUGUUUGACAGUUUAGUCCUCUAGUUAUUGUUGCACUGAUUUAUGUCAAGAAGAUUUGGCUAGUGUGAUGUGAGUCCAGUACAUGUGCUUUAUAAUCCUGUUUGUAACCGGUGUUCAUUUUGUAGUCCCAGUGAUAUAUCUUGUACCUUGUGCUAGCUAUGAACCUGUGAUAUAUAUAUGUGUGUGUUAUGUUCAUGUCCUUUUACUUCUCUUGUCAUUGAUGAUAGCUUUUGUUAGUAUCUUAAUUUCUCAAGCAUUACGAAAAUACCAAAAAGAUUGUUGAAGAUAAUUUGAACCUUCCUUGCUACUGUGUUAUUUUCUUUAUUGUCAACUUUGGUUAGUUUAGGUCUAUAUUUCCUUGCAAUCAUCAUCUAAAUUCUAUUACCUAGCUUUAGCCGAGUAUAGUUGACGUCGCCUAGUCCCUGAGGAGAACACAACACUCACAGUUUGGGCGUAAAAACCCCACUGCACCUACUAUGAUCAUUUUGGCGCCGUUGCCGGGGAGUAGCGUCGAGAGAUUUUGUUAGGCCAUAGACUAGGUUUUUCUUGUUUUUCCCUUUGUGCUAUAUAUUUGUGAUAUAUCUCUAGCCACUAACACCUGUUUUAGUUAGUAUCUUUUUGUCUUCUUUUCCUUUUUGCAGUUGGAUUAUCCUCUCGGUUAUGGCUUACUAUUCAGAUCAUCAGGCUUACGCGAGCAACACUACAAACAGCACGGAAAGUGUUCAAGAACUGAUAGGUAAGAUUUCCCAUCGAUUAGAUGAUUUAGCUCGGCAGCGAGAAGGAGUUUUUGAGGAUAGGCCUAGUUCGUACGAUCCUUAUUCCAGAGGCCAUCCUUAUGUUGCUCCUACUUGCCAUAUUUGUGGAUUUCAGGGCCAUUCGCCCGCUGAAUGUCAGCGUGGCUACUCUCACACUCCGGAUUGUUUUGGCAUGAGCUUCACUCAAGAGCAUAGCUCAUACCAAAACAAUUACUCACAUGGGUGGCCUGAAAUCCCGAAUAUGUCAUAUAGGAGCAACAACACUGAGAUCUCACAGUUUGGUUCUAGUAAUCAUAUGCAGGGAUUCAAGUACAAUGAGGAGAACCACAACUAUGCUCCACAACAGAUUUAUUCACCUCCUACUCAUAUACCUCAAUACCAGGAGAUGUGUCCAAUGGAGUUAAAUGGUCCUCCAUUUCGUCAACCAACAACUCCAGCACCUUUCGAGCAAAGAUGAGUUUGAUGACAUAGACAAGCUCACACUUUUGAGUCUCGAGUUCACUUGGAGUGCCGAGGAUGAUCCUAUUAGGAAGGUUAUACUAGAGGAAAUGAAGAAGAUUAAGAGUGGAAAGGAGCUAGUGGAAGAAGUAAGGAAGAUUGAGAAGAACAUCAAUGCUGGCAGCACUAUUUCUUCACAACUUGAGUUGAGUGUGGCUGAGAUAUCCAUGGAUACAUGUGAGGUUCCAACACCUUCACAUUUCGUUGAGCAAGUUAGCAAGUGCCUUGAGCAAGAGAUACCUCAGAUUGAAGAAGAUGAACUAGAAGACAAGGAACAAGAUGGUCAAGAGCUGCAAUUCCCAAGUGAUCAAGUUGAAGACUCAUCAUCUAUUACUCCUGAAGAAGUACAAGAAGCUGCUGUAGAUGAAGAUGAAGAACAUGAGAUUCAUUUGCCUAUUGUCAUACCAGAGUGUGAUGUGUCAGGUUUACUCAAUCCUCUUGAUGACAUGAUGCCUUGUGAUUUCUUUGCUACCACCUUGCAUUACAUGAUACCAUCACUUAAGAUUGAUUUGAAAACUCAUUUGCUUGGAUAUGAUGAUAUAUACCGUGUUAGUGGAAUUGCUCUCAUUUGUGAUGAUCACAAUUACUUUCCUCAUGCUAGUCUUGAGCUUAAUGAUAAAUGUCAUCCUCGUGUGAGUAUUGACCAUGCUGAUUUCUGCCAUCCUAAACAUGUGCUUUAUAGUUAUGCUUAUAUAAUUGGAUAUUCCAUUGAUGACUUGGAGGGCAUCGACCGUAUCACUUGUAGUUGUUUGUGUGAGUCCUAUUUCAGGCUUUUGCUACUACACUGUUUACUACAUGCUGACCAGGUUCGAGGUGACAUUCCUUGGGAUCCUGGUGGAGUCAGAGCAUGGCGAUGAGGGGAGCACAAACAGGGAACACAAACAGAGAAGAGUGGAGAGAAGAAAGUAGGAGAGAAGAGUAUACAAAUACCAGGUGAUUCUGUUCCACUUGAAGCAACCUUUAGAAAAUUUAGUACGAGAACUGGCAUUUUAUUGCAUUGAAACACUUUUUGCAUUGUGACACCUUACUCUUCACUGCAAAGUAGGAUUCACUCCAAGAAGAUUGUUGAUUCUCUUAAUACUAAAACUAUGCAGCUGUAUUCUUCUUAUGGUAAUUUGUGAUAAUGAAUACUUUAUACCUCCAUGUAAAUGUUCAAUGGGAAUGCGUUGAGUCUAAGUGAAACCUACUAAUGAAUUGAUGUGCUGUGUCUGACUGUCCGAAGUUAAGCUAAGUAACUGGUGGCACUUAAGUAGUAGCUAUGAUCUCUGGAUCUGUAGUAUGUGAAAAACAGUGCCAUUAGCUAUGGAUUCCUCUUUCAAUUAUUCCUAUUUUACUUAAGCUAAGUAAUUUUCAAAUAACUAUAUAAAAUAAUUAUAAUAAUUUAAGUCCGAUCGACCUAUAGUAGCAUGUCAUGUUCCCUGGAUCGGUGGCUUGUGAAAUCUGGUAGAUUGGACUGUAAAAAAAUUUAUAUAAAAAAUGCUAUAAUUUGUCGAACCAGGUGUAUACCAUGUUCUCGGGAUCGGUGGUAUGUUCCUUAGGGGAGAUAAUAACAAAAAAAUAUGCUAAUAAUUUGUCGAACCAGGUGUAUACCAUGUUCUCGGGAUCAGUCGUAUGUUCCUUUGGGGAGAUAACAAAAAAAAUAUACUAAUAAUUUGGUCGAGCCAGGUGUAUACCAUGUUCUCGGGAUCGGUGGUAUGUUCCUUUGGUGAGACUGAUAUAAUAUCAUCACUUGUGCUUUAAAUUCAAUAAGUAACUUGUUUUUCUAAUUGAUUUUGGGGUCCCAGCUUAUCUCAGGGCUGAAGACAGAGCCAGCUCUUGAUUAUUAGUAUUCACUUUGACUCAAGGCCAUUGACUUGGAACAUUUACAGUGUGUUAUAAAAUAUUUCUUAUCACAAUUUAGCUUUAGUAGAGUACAUUUGCUUAGUUCCAGUAUUGUCGGAAUUACUAUCUAUCGGAAAGUGCAUCUUUACUAGGCAGUGUGAGUUGUGUCACCAUCAAUUUUUUUUCCUUUGCUUGAGGACAAGCAAAGAUUUAAGUGUGGGGGAACUUGAUAAGCACAUUUCUUAUAUACUAUUUGGGCACACAAAUUCACCUUUUAUUGAGAUAUAUCCAUCCAUUCUUGCUAUGACUUGUUGAAUAUUCGAAUGAUAAUCAUAAAAGAGAAUGUUGACUAGUGAAUUGUUUAUUUUGCAGAAGAGUGCGCAAAGGCACUAUAAUCGUCAAGACUUCUACUAUGUGGCUAACGAGAAGAGAGAAGGGCAUGAAAGAAAUACGUCAAGGCUUGAGCGUGAAGGAAAGAAGUAAUGUAGGGGAGCAAACUAAAAGAAGAGGAGGAUCUUCUUGGGAAGAGAGAAGAAAGGAGGAGGGCCAAAGUAAAAAAAAGACACAACAGAGGAGGGGAUCAAAAAUCCCUAGCGCAGCCGAUCCCCAUCGGGCCUGGCUCAUCUCUCUCUCUCCCUCACCCCUCCUUCUCCACCUCCGGCCGCCACCACGGCCAGGCCGGCGUGUUGGUGCGCCUCCCACCUCAUCACCCAUCUCCAUCCACCACUCCACCAUCACCUCCAUCCAUCAGCGCCGUGCCACCCAGCACCUCCACCAUGCACCACCAGCACCACUCCAGAUCCACCUCACGCAACUCACCAGACAGAGGGUCGGCGGUGUCUGAUCCAUCGCGCGCCCGAUGCUGGUGCCUCCUUCUUCAACCUGCUGCUUCUUCUUCCUCACCUCCGCUGCUGUUGCUCCUGCUCUUCUUGCGCUCAUGUUGCUGCUCCUCUGAACCCCUCGUACUGCUGCUCCUAAUCUUCUCCAACUUGCUGCUGCUCUGCUUACUCUAUCUCCUUGCACCGCUGCUGCUGCUUCUCCCGCGCGCCCCAACCUGCUGCUGCUCUUCCCCCACGAAUCUGCUACAGCUCCACUCUCUAGGGCCUCCUUUGCUGAUUCUUUGCUCUGAACCUCAAGUUGCUACUGCUUCUUCUUCUCACGUCACUGCUACUGCUCUUCUUUUCUUUCCCCUACUGUUGCUCCUUCUCUGAACCUCACGAUGCUGCUCCAUCUCCUAAACGCUGCUGCUUCUUCCUUGGCCUCCUGCUCUGCUCCUAAUCUGAACCAUAAAUUGCUGCUACUCCCCUUCAUUCUCUAAAUUUCUGUAGACUUGAGAUCAUAUGUAAUAUUCAUAUUUGGCUAGUGCUUGAAACUUGCUAUUGGUUCAGAUUUGUAACUGUAUAAUAAUGCUAUGACAUGUUCAGUUUUAGACUGGUGAUUGUUUAGUACUGUAGUACUGUUUUUGUUCAUCGGAGAGUAUUAGAACAGUGCCCUGUAAUACCAUGUUCUUAUUUGUGUGUGUGUGUGUGUGUGAAAUAUAUUAAUUAUGUACUGCACUUGCUACUGAUUAGUGUCCAGUUUACUGUAGACUGUUGCUCAAGUUCCUGUGAUAUAUAUCAUGUUUGACAGUUUAGUCUUCUAGUUAUUGUUGCACUGAUUUAUGUCAAGAAGAUUUGGCUAGUGUGAUGUGAGUCCAGUACAUGUGCUUUAUAAUCCUGUUUGUAACCGGUGUUCAUUUUGUAGUCCCAGUGAUAUAUCUUGUACCUUGUGCUAGCUAUGAAC
rnacentral:lncRNA from 1 species